rnacentral:tRNA from 1 species
GGGGAUUUAGCUCAGUAGUAGAGCACUUGCCUUGUAAGCACAAGGCCCUGAGUUCAGUCCUCAGCUCCA